rnacentral:rRNA from 1 species
UUCGCAAUGCCCGAAAGGGUGACGAUGCGACGCCGCGUGAGCGAAGAAGGCCCUAGGGUUGUAAAGCUCUGUCGAGGGUUAUGAAAUAUAGAUGGGUUAAUACCCCAUUUAUUUGACAAAAGCCCAAAAGGAAGCCACGGCUAACUCUGUGCCAGCAGCCGCGGUAAUACAGAGGUGGCAAGCGUUGUUCGGUAUUAUUGGGCGUAAAGAGCACGUAGGUGGUUCUGUAAGUCAGAUGUGAAAGCCUUCUGUUCAAAGGAAGAACGGCAUCUGAAACUACAGAUCUUGAGUGUAGGAGGGGAGAGUGGAACUUCUGGUGGAGCGGUGAAAUGCGUAGAUAUCAGAAGGAACGUCGGCGGCGAAAGCGACUCUCUGGCCUAUUACUGACACUGAGGUGCGAAAGUUAGGGGAGCAAACGGGAUUAGAUACCCCGGUAGUCCUAACCGUAAACGAUGGGCACUAAGUAGAGGGGUUUU